GCGCGCGCUCUCUCUCUCUCUCUCUCUCUCUCUCUCUAUAUAUAUAUAUAUAUAUUUUUUUUUUUUUUUUUGGAGACAGAGUCUUGCUCUGUUGCUCAGGCUAGAGUGUAAUGGCGCGCAAUCUUGGCUCAUUGCAACCUCCGCCUCCCAGGUUCAAGUGAUUCUCCUGCCUCAGCCUCCUGAGUCUGGGAUUACAGUCGUGUGCCACCACGCCCAGCUAAUUUUUGUAUUUUUGGUAGAGGCAGGGUUUCACCAUGUUGGCCAGGUUGGUCUUGAACUCCUGACCUCAGGUGAUCUGCCCGCCUCGGCCUCCCAAAAUGCUGGGAUUAUAGGCGUGAGCUACCGCGGGGAUAGAUGUUGACUUCUAGCUGCUCCAGAACCGCAAGGUAAAAAUGUAUCUAGGAUAUAGCUAGAAAUUUAGGUUUAAUGCUUAGGAGAGAGUACAGGACCAGAGAAAGAGUCAA
rnacentral:lncRNA from 1 species